rnacentral:rRNA from 1 species
GAUGAACGCUAGCGGCAGGCCUAAUACAUGCAAGUCGAACGGCAGCAGGCUGUAGCAAUACAGUGCUGGCGAGUGGCGCACGGGUGCAUAACACGUAUGUAAUUUGCCCAUAACUGGGGAAUAGCCCUCCGAAAGGAGGAUUAAAACCCCAUAACCCAGCGAGGUGGCAUCACUUUUCUGGUAAAACUCCGGUGGUUAUGGAUAAGCAUGCGUCCGAUUAGCUAGUUGGCGAGGUAACGGCUCACCAAGGCAACGAUCGGUAGGGGGUCUGAGAGGAUGAUCCCCCACACGGGUACUGAGACACGGACCCGACUCCUACGGGAGGCAGCAGUAAGGAAUAUUGGACAAUGGAGGCAACUCUGAUCCAGCCAUGCCGCGUGAAGGAUGAAGGCGCUACGCGUUGUAAACUUCUUUUCUCUUAGAAAAAACAUUUGGCUUCGUACCGAAUCUGAUUGUACAAGAGGAAUAAGCAUCGGCUAACUUCGUGCCAGCAGCCGCGGUAAAAC